GUGCACCAGUCGCGAAUCCUCCGCAAUGCGCGAAAGCGCGACGGGGCCACCCCGAGUGCCGCCCGCUGAGGGCGGCUUUUCCCCGGUGUAGACAGCCGGGGGAAUAAGGGGAGGGCAAGUCUGGUGUCAGCCGCCGCGGUAAUACCAGCUCCCCGAGUGGUGGGGACGAUUAUUGGGCCUAAAGCGUCCGUAGCCGGCCCGGCAAGUCUCCCGUUAAAAUCCAGCGAUCUAAUCGCUGGACUGCGGGAGAUACUGUCGGGCUAGGGGGGCGGGAGAGGCCGGCGGUAUUCCCGGGGUAGGGGUGAAAGUCCUAUAAUCCCGGGAGGACCACCAGUGGCGAAGGCUGCCGGCUGGAACGCGCCCGACGGUGAGGGACGAAAGCCGGGGGAGCGAACCGGA
rnacentral:rRNA from 1 species